rnacentral:pre_miRNA from 1 species
CUGAUACUUCCUCCGUUCCGAAUUACUUGUCGCGGAAAUGGAUGUAUCUAGAACUAAAAAAUGUCUAGAUACAUCCAUUUCUACGACAAGUAAUUCCGAACGGAGGGAGUACUAU